rnacentral:rRNA from 1 species
GACGUAGGGCGCGAGCGUUGUCCGGAUUUAUUGGCGUAAGAGCUCGUAGCGGCUGUCGCGUCGACUGUGAAAACCCGCGGCUCAACCGCGGGCCUGCAGUCGAUACGGGCGGCUAGAGUUCGGGUAGGGGAGACUGGAAUUCCUGGUGUAGCGGUGAAAUGCGCAGAUAUCAGGAGGAACACCGAUGGCGAAGGCAGGUCUCUGGGCCGAUACUGACGCUGAGGAGCGAAGCGUGGGAGCGAACAGG